UCUAUCACUUCUAAGUAGGUAAGCUUCUACGCAAACUUUGAAAUGCCUUCCUACUUCAUAUUUGAAGAUCUGCCUCAUAUGCAUUUACCAAAGGGGGAAAAGAUGAUAAAUGUUCCCAUUUGCGUUAGAAGUGAACAUAGAGGAAACAGACACUGCAGGCUUUGUUAUUAUGAUUUUGGACUGAUAUAUCAAUUGGAAAGU
ensembl:misc_RNA